GGUUGACCUCGGAUCAGGUAGGGAUACCCGCUGAACUUAAGCAUAUCAAUAAGCGGAGGAAAAGAAACCAACCGGGAUUGCCUCAGUAACGGCGAGUGAAGCGGCAAGAGCUCAAAUUUGAAAUCUGGCCCCU
rnacentral:rRNA from 2 species